UACGUAGGGGGCAAGCGUUAUCCGGAUUUACUGGGUUUAAAGGGUGCGUAGGCGGGCAGGUAAGUCAGUGGUGAAAUCCUCAAGCUUAACUUGAGAACUGCCAUUGAUACUAUUUGUCUUGAAUAUCCUGGAGGUGAGCAGAAUAUGUCAUGUAGCGGUGAAAUGCUUAGAUAUGACAUAGAAUACCAAUUGCGAAGGCAGCUCACUACACGAUAAUUGACGCUGAGGCACGAAAGCGUGGGGAUCAAACAGG
rnacentral:rRNA from 1 species